CACGUAGGGGCCAAGCGUUUGUCCGGAAUUAUUGGGCGUAAAGAGCGUGUAGGCGGUCCGGUAAGUCAGCUGUGAAAGUCAAGGGCUCAACCCUUGAAAGCCGGUUGAUACUGUCGGGCUAGAGUCCGGAAGAGGCGAGUGGAAUUCCCGGUGUAGCGGUGAAAUGCGCAGAUAUCGGGAGGAACACCAAUGGCGAAGGCAGCUCGCUGGGACGGUACUGACGCUGAGACGCGAAAGCGUGGGGGAG
rnacentral:rRNA from 1 species